CGAAGCGGCGGCGGCGGCGGCGGCGGCGGCGGCGGCGGCGUCGAGUGGCUUGAACUCGGGAGCCUUUCCAGCCUUGAGUCAUGCAGCCGGUCUUCCGGGACGCCGGCUGCCUCCCAGAGGAUCAAUUUUGGCAAGCCGAGGGCCGGCGCUUUUUAGACUGGGUCUUUUUGCUUUCCACAGAAAGAAAAAGAAAGUUUGCAGGGUUUCACCGGAGCAAACGCUCUGGGUGGCUUGCGAAGGCACCACGUGACACCUGGACACGCAGCUAGAGGCCUGUCCAAUGACUUGCGACUUGCGGUGUUCAAAAAAGGCUUUUGCACGAUCACAAGUAAGACCUCGUUAGCUUGAAAACGAAACAAGGCGUGUUCGGAAAAUGCAAGAUGUUUAAAGCUAAGUCUUUUAAAAAAAGCACCAAUUAGCCAAUAUGAAGCGGCGAUGCGGAAAGUUUCCCCCCUGUGGUUCUAUAGGGGAAGAGAAUCUCUUGUAGUGACUGGAAAUGUUCAGCAACUUGGCCCUGACCUGAGCUGGUUGGCUCUGGGAAGGCGGGUGGUGGCAGAGAGGGUCAGAGAGGGAGAAAAAGACCACGCUUUGAAAUUCGGGAAGCAACCCGAUGUUGCGGAGUAUAUUGGCACCCAGGAUUUUGUGGAGAGGAUGCCAUUGAUCGCGGGUGGUAAAUGUGCAGAUAUGGUUUUAUAUUAGUAUUCAGAUGUUACAAAAUCAUUUAUCUGUACAGAAGGUAAACUGAGAAUAGGAACUGUAUCUGCCGUUUGUUGCAAACAUUUUAGGUAAAAUCUGUGACAUAGUGAAUUCCUUACUUUUGAAUGCGAGAAAUACGAUGACUUCCAGUUUCUUCAUUUUGAUUUAAAAUGUCCUCCCCUUAAAGCGCACACAACACAUGCUAAGGUUACAAGCAUUCCCGUAACAAUAUCCGGGGAUGACGCUGAAAGUAUAUGUUGGUGUCUUACCUCAGAAAGUCGGUCCUCAGAAAAUAGUGGCGUGAAUCACACAAAUACAUCAUUUAGAAGAGAUUUUUUUUUUUGCUAAAAAAUCUAAGGUCUCAUUCAGUUAUGUUUCAUAAAUGUUCUACUUCGAUGUCCUUCUCCCUUAAAUAAAACUCAAAGCUCAUACGGACUCGUUUUUUGACACUUUUAACUACUGUUAUUUGGACGCUAGCGAGUAUGCGGCUCUAAAAGCUUUUAAAAAAGAACUUCGGAUUUUGACAGAAGAGCGCCCUCUGCUGCCGAAUAGUUUAUGGGCAACGCUCCUGAAAAGUGAAACACUUGGGGGUAUGCCCAUCGCAAAGCUGGCAAGGUGAACUUUAAGAGCUGCUCAUCUUGAGGAGGAAAGAGCUACAUUCAGAGGUUAGCUGCUGGUACAGCUUUGAGUCACUAGGAGUUCCCCGACCAGAGAUCGAACCCAGGCCCCCUGUAGUGGAAGAAAGGAGUCUUAACCACUGGACUGCCAGGGAAGUCCCAGCACCCCUCUGCUUGUGGAGAACCCCUUCCAUGUGAUUUGGGGUUUGGUUCAGCAGUGGGCAAUGACCCAAGUCAGACUAAUUAACAUCCUCUCCAGGACGUCUGCUCAAAUUCUCAGGAAAGAGAUAAACCCUGUCUCUCUGGGAUUGUCAGUGGCCAUGGCUCACGGGCCCAGCUGCUCCGCGGCAUGUGGGAUCCUCCCGGACCGGGGCAUGAACCCGUGUCCCCUGCAUCGGCAGGUGGACUCUCAACCACUGCGCCACCAGGGAAAACCCCCAAGAUUUGUUAAUUCACUCUCCUGUUAAUGAAUGAAUAUUUGAAUUGUUUCUAGUUUUGGACUUUUAGAAAUAAAGGUGCUAUAUACUUGCCACGCACAGGUCUUUGUGUGAACACAGUUUUUAUUUUUCUUGAGUAAAUCCCUAAGAUUUGCAUUGCUGGGUCAUAUGGUAAGAGUAUGUUUGUCUAACGUUAUGAGAAAUUGCUAGUGUUUUCCAAAUGCCUACAUCUCCGGCAAUUUAUGAGAGGCCCAGUUACUUCCACAUUCUUGUCCAUACUUGAUAUUUUUAUUCUUUCUAAUUUUAGCUAUCUUAGUGCAUGUGUAGUGGUAUUUCAUUGUGGUUUAAUUUGCAUUUUCCUGAUGAUUAAUGAUGAGCAUUUUGCUAUUUUUUUAAAUUUGCCAUUAUUAAAUGAGGCGCUUAUUUGCUAUUUGUAGGUAUGCUUUGGAGAAGCAUCUAUUCAAAUUCUUUAUUUUUUAAAAAACACCUUUUUAUUUUGAAAUAAUUAUAGGCUCAUAGGAAGUUGCAAAAAUAGUACAAUGAGUCUGAUGUACACUUCUCCCAGCUUUCCAAUAGUGACAUGUUAUGUAGCUUGUAGUACAGUAUCAACACCAGGAAAUUUACAUUGGUAUUACUGUUAACAGACUUUAUUCAGUUUUAUCUUUAAUAAACCUGCAUUUUUUUGGUA